CACGUAGGGGGCAAGCGUUGUCCGGAUUCAUUGGGCGUAAAGAGCUCGUAGGCGGUUCGAUAAGUCGGGUGUGAAACCUCCAGGCUCAACCUGGAGACGCCACCCGAUACUGUCGUGACUAGAGUCCAGUAGGGGAGCGUGGAAUUCCUGGUGUAGCGGUGAAAUGCGCAGAUAUCAGGAGGAACAUCAGUGGCGAAGGCGGCCAUCUGGACUAACACUGACACUGAGACACGAAAGCGUGGGGAGCAAACAGG
rnacentral:rRNA from 1 species